UGUUAAUUUUUAACUGUAAUUAUUAUUAGGUAAGAUCUUGAAAAUUAAAGAUUUUGGCGGUAUUUUAGUCUUUUCAGAGGAACCUGUUUUUUAAUUGAUGAUCCACGAUUAUUUUUACUUUAUCUUUAAAUUUACAUAUCGUCGUAAAAUAAAUAUUUUUAUAGAAAUUUAAUGUUUGAGAUUUAUUAUUAUAUAAAAAUUCAGAUCAAGGUGUAGUUUAUGGUGAAGUUAAAAUGGGUUACAUUAUAUUUAUAUGUGGUUUUUUUGCUUUGAACUUUAAAUAAACCUGGAUUUGAAAGUAA
rnacentral:rRNA from 1 species